rnacentral:tRNA from 1 species
GGGCCUAUAGCUCAGCCGGUUAGAGCACUUGACUCAUAAUCAAGGGGUCCCUGGUUCGAGCCCAGGUGGGCCCACAA